rnacentral:rRNA from 1 species
AACGGACGCUGGCGGCAGGCUUAACACAUGCAAGUCGAGCGCCCCGCAAGGGGAGCGGCAGACGGGUGAGUAACGCGUGGGAACAUACCCUUUAGUACGGAAUAGCCUCGGGAAACUGGGAUUAAUACCGCAUACGCCCUACGGGGAAAGCGGGGACCGUUCGGGCCUCGCGCUAUCAGAUGAGCCUGCGUAGGAUUAGCUUGUUGGUGAGGUAAAGGCUCACCAAGGCGACGAUCCUUAGCUGGUCUGAGAGGAUGAUCAGCCACACUGGAACUGAGACACGGUCCAGACUCCUACGGGAGGCAGCAGUGGGAAUAUUGCGCAAUGGGCGAAAGCCUGACGCAGCCAUGCCGCGUGUGUGAAGAAGGCCCUUGGGUUGUAAAGCACUUUC